AGAGUUUGAUCCUGGCUCAGGAUGUACGCUAGCGACAGGCCUAACACAUGCAAGUCGAGGGGUAGCAGGGAACUUCGGUUCCGCUGACGACCGGCGCACGGGUGCGUAACGCGUAUGCAACUUACCCUAUACAGGGGGAUAGCCCAGAGAAAUUUGGAUUAAUACCCCAUGGUAUCAUCAGGAGGCAUUUUCAGAUGAUUAAAGAUUUAUCGGUAUAGGAUGGGCAUGCGUAUGAUUAGCUAGUUGGAGAGGUAACGGCUCCCCAAGGCAACGAUCAUUAGGGGUUCUGAGAGGAAGAUCCCCCACACUGGUACUGAGACACGGACCAGACUCCUACGGGAGGCAGCAGUGAGGAAUAUUGGGCAAUGGAGGCAACUCUGACCCAGCCAUGUCGCGUGCAGGAAGACGGUCCUAUGGAUUGUAAACUGCUUUUAUACGGGAAUAAAUGCCCCAUGCGUGGGGAGUUGCAUGUACCGUAUGAAUAAGCACCGGCUAACUCCGUGCCAGCAGCCACGGUAAUACGGAGGGUGCAAGCGUUAUCCGGAUUUAUUGGGUUUAAAGGGUGCGUAGGUGGGACUAUAAGUCAGUGGUGAAAGUUUGCGGCUCAACCGUAAAAUUGCCAUUGAAACUGUAGUUCUUGAGUUAGGUUGCGGUAGGCGGAAUGUGUUGUGUAGCGGUGAAAUGCAUAGAUAUAACACAGAACUCCGAUUGCGUAGGCAGCUUACCAAGCCUAAACUGACACUGAUGCACGAAAGCGUGGGUAGCGAACAGGAUUAGAUACCCUGGUAGUCCACGCCGUAAACGACGCUCACUCGCUGUUGGUUCUUCGGAAUCAGUGGCUAAGCGAAAGUGAUAAGUGAGCCACCUGGGGAGUACGUUGGCAACAAUGAAACUCAAAGGAAUUGACGGGGGCCCGCACAAGCGGAGGAACAUGUGGUUUAAUUCGAUGAUACGCGAGGAACCUUACCUGGGCUUAAAUGUAGAUUGCAUAGAGUAGAGAUAUUCUUUUCUUCGGACUAUUUACAAGGUGCUGCAUGGUUGUCGUCAGCUCGUGCCGUGAGGUGUCGGGUUAAGUCCCAUAACGAGCGCAACCCCUACUGUUAGUUACCAUCAGGUUAAGCUGGGGACUCUAACGGAACUGCCGGUGCAAACCGCGAGGAAGGUGGGGAUGACGUCAAAUCAGCACGGCCCUUACGCCCAGGGCUACACACGUGUUACAAUGGCCAGUACAGCGGGCAGCUACACAGCAAUGUGAUGCUAAUCUCGAAAUCUGGUCUCAGUUCGGAUUGGGGUCUGCAACCCGACCCCAUGAAGUUGGAUUCGCUAGUAAUCGCGCAUCAGCCAUGGCGCGGUGAAUACGUUCCCGGGCCUUGUACACACCGCCCGUCAAACCAUGGAAGCCGGGGGUACCUGAAGGCUGUUACCGCAAGGGACGGACUAGGGUAAAUCUGGUAACUGGGGUUAAGUCGAAACAAGGUA
rnacentral:rRNA from 1 species